AAAUCUCAACCUUCUCGGUUUUCUUCUGGACACCGAAGGAGGCUUGGACUUUGGAGGCCUUUGCUGGCAUCUCUCUCUUUUUGAGAGCCAGCUCCUCUUAAAUGAAUUAGCGGGGUCCUCUUUGCCGAUCCUCGACAUGUGAUAAGAUGUUUCCAUGACUUGGUUUCUGGCUCUGUUGCCUUUGGGACCCGCUUCUAACCGUCUCUCGACGAGACAAUGUUUGGGCGUGUCUCCCUUCUCGGGAGACUCUCUCAACCCCACGAACC
rnacentral:misc_RNA from 1 species